UUGAACGCUGGCGGCAGGCCUGACACAUGCAAGUCGAGCGGAUGAAGGGAGCUUGCUCCUGGAUUCAGCGGCGGACGGGUGAGUAAUGCCUAGGAAUCUGCCUGGUAGUGGGGGAUAACGUCCGGAAACGGGCGCUAAUACCGCAUACGUCCUGAGGGAGAAAGUGGGGGAUCUUCGGACCUCACGCUAUCAGAUGAGCCUAGGUCGGAUUAGCUAGUUGGUGGGGUAAAGGCCUACCAAGGCGACGAUCCGUAACUGGUCUGAGAGGAUGAUCAGUCACACUGGAACUGAGACACGGUCCAGACUCCUACGGGAGGCAGCAGUGGGGAAUAUUGGACAAUGGGCGAAAGCCUGAUCCAGCCAUGCCGCGUGUGUGAAGAAGGUCUUCGGAUUGUAAAGCACUUUAAGUUGGGAGGAAGGGCAGUAAGUUAAUACCUUGCUGUUUUGACGUUACCAACAGAAUAAGCACCGGCUAACUUCGUG
rnacentral:rRNA from 1 species